rnacentral:rRNA from 1 species
AUGGCGGCCACGAGCCCCACUGCCGGGAGCGCCGCCCACGCCACGCGGGGAGCCGGCGGCGCGGAGGACUGCAUCCCGCUGACGGCGGCGGGCGCGGCGGAGCCGAAGGGCGCGAACGCGGAGUCGGGCUCGAGCGCGUCGGGGUUGGGCGGGCUCGGGCUGGACGGGAUGGUGGCCGCCGCGUCGGACGGCGCCAGCGCGUCGUCGCCGGGGCCCGGGGAGGGGAGCAGCGGCAUUAUGUCCGGGGAGAGCGAGAGCGACGGCGGGAGCGCGGAGGGGGCGCUCGCGUGGCGGCCGCCGUGGCGCGGCUGCAGCAGCGGGUACUGCGACGGCUCCGGCGCCGCGGAGAUGGCCGACGCCCGCAGCGCGCCCGCGUGGGCUGCCGGCACGCACGCGCACGCGGCGCAGAGCGCGAGAGCGGCGAGCAGGAGGGCUUGGCACCGGCCGCGCGCUCCGGUUCUCGCCAUCGUGGGCUGCGCGUGCGUGUGGCGCGGGGAGCGAGAGGGUUGCUGGACGACCCGUGUGAGGGAGUGGCCGAUGGGUGUGAGGAGGGAUUGGUUUGGUCGGUUUUGGAGGGUGGUCGGGGCGGGGAAGCGGGUGGACAGAGCGAACAUGUUAUUCGUCGCCACGCCACGAGCGGGCUGUUCUCUUCUGCUCAACCUUUCCAAAGAAAAAGCGAAGUUACAGCAGCAGCAACUAUUGGCAGCAGUUUCUCUACUCAUACGGCACACACACCGCUGGAGUUUUACAGUACCGCCACGCCCACUCCAACUCAAAUGUCACCGUCGUCACCGGGUAUUCACAAGACACAACACCUCCCAUCAUCGCACAAGUGCGCUCGCAUUUCGAGACCAUGCAGCUGAUUGUUCCUGGAUGCCUCCUAAUCCAAGCAGCAUACCACGUACCCAACUUCUCGUGAUUGUUAUUUCUCUCUUUAUCUGGUAUUCCAUCCGUGGGUGA